CUGCUUCCCAGGCCUGUGCCCUGAAGCCUCUCCCAUUGUGGCCCCUCAUCUUCCUGACACUGGCCCUACCCCCUGGGGAUACCCCAGGAGCAGGGCCCUCACCCUGCAGCUUUUCCUGUGCAGGGCCUGGGGCUGCCUCGUUCUGUGCAAAUGUUCAGCUGGUGUUUCUUUUCAUCAGUGAGUUCAGACAGGGUCUCUGCCCUGGAGAACGUGCCACGAGAAAUAUGCUACUAAAUUUGUAUUCACAGAAUUUCGAGCAGAAAGGGCCCCAGAGGAGCCUGCCCAGUCCCCACAGAGAGGGAGCCAAGACUGGGCCUCCCCCUCACCUUGUGGGGGUGGCAAUGGUAAGCACCUGGCAAAGUUGUCAUCCUGACUCUCCCUUCGCCAUUCUGAAGCCUUGUCUGGUCUCCUAACUCCUGCUGUGACUGACCAGUGGAUUUCUGGAACAACAGCUGUCAUUAAAAGCCAGGGCAAG
rnacentral:lncRNA from 1 species